GUCGAAAACAAGCAAGAGGAAAUAAAAUGUAACACAUGCAAUGACGUGGGGCACGCCCCCGAAGAUUGCCCAACCAAACUGCGUCGAGGGACGCGGGGUGCCAGGAGAGGCCGCGGCGGACGGCGUGGUCGUCCCCAAUGGCGAGGUCGCGGAAUUUGGCGUGGAAGGGGGCGUGGCCAAGGGCGUGGCCAAGUUGUUAUCAAUAUAUUUACAAGGGACUAAGGAGGUUAGAAAGUCUUAACGAAAGAGGAAAAAAAAAGUUUAAAAAAAUCGCCAAAAAAAAUAAAAAUUUUUGAAAAAGUA